rnacentral:rRNA from 1 species
CUAAUACCGGAUAGGAUCUUCUCCUUCAUGGGAGAUGAUUGAAAGAUGGUUUCGGCUAUCACUUACAGAUGGGCCCGCGGUGCAUUAGCUAGUUGGUGAGGUAACGGCUCACCAAGGCAACGAUGCAUAGCCGACCUGAGAGGGUGAUCGGCCACACUGGGACUGAGACACGGCCCAGACUCCUACGGGAGGCAGCAGUAGGGAAUCUUCCGCAAUGGACGAAAGUCUGACGGAGCAACGCCGCGUGAGUGAUGAAGGCUUUCGGGUCGUAAAACUCUGUUGUUAGGGAAGAACAAGUACGAGAGUAACUGCUCGUACCUUGACGGUACCUAACCAGAAAGCCACGGCUAACUACGUGCCAGCAGCCGCGGUAAUACGUAGGUGGCAAGCGUUAUCCGGAAUUAUUGGGCGUAAAGCGCGCGCAGGCGGUUUCUUAAGUCUGAUGUGAAAGCCCACGGCUCAACCGUGGAGGGUCAUUGGAAACUGGGGAACUUGAGUGCAGAAGAGAAAAGCGGAAUUCCACGUGUAGCGGUGAAAUGCGUAGAGAUGUGGAGGAACACCAGUGGCGAAGGCGGCUUUUUGGUCUGU